rnacentral:rRNA from 1 species
UACGUAGGUGGCAAGCGUUAUCCGGAAUGAUUGGGCGUAAAGCGUCUGUAGGUGGCUUUUUAAGUCCGCCGUCAAAUCCCAGGGCUCAACUCUGGACAGGCGGUGGAAACUACCAAGCUGGAGUACGGUAGGGGCAGAGGGAAUUUCCGGUGGAGCGGUGAAAUGCAUAGAUAUCGGGAAGAACACCAACGGCGAAAGCACUCCGCUGGGCCGAAAACUGACACUGACAGAACGAGAGCUAGGGAGCGAAUGGG